rnacentral:rRNA from 1 species
GAUGAACGCUGGCGGCGUGCUUAACACAUGCAAGUCGAACGGGGAUGCAUUAAGAAGGAGUGCUUGCAUUCCGGAAGGAUGUAUCUUAGUGGCGGACGGGUGAGUAACGCGUGGGUAACCUGCCCCAUACCGGGGGAUACCACCUGGAAACAGGUGCUAAUACCGCAUAAGCGCACGGGAGCGCAUGCUCCUGUGUGAAAAACUCCGGUGGUAUGGGAUGGACCCGCGUCUGAUUAGCCAGUUGGCAGGGUAACGGCCUACCAAAGCGACGAUCAGUAGCCGGCCUGAGAGGGUGGACGGCCACAUUGGGACUGAGACACGGCCCAA